GCGUUCUCCAGCGUUGCCAUGACGUCAGGCAACAUCAGCAGCAUGGAGUAGGAGCUGUUGAAGGGCAGCUGAAGGACCGUGGUGUUCAGCACGUGGUCGUGAUAGGUGUGGAAACGUUCCUCCAUGUUCAUCAUGGCGACUGAACCUUGGUGUUCUCGUCCACGUGGAAGUCGUCCUG